rnacentral:rRNA from 1 species
GACGAACGCUGGCGGCGUGCUUAACACAUGCAAGUCGAGCGGUAAGGCCCUUUCGGGGGUACACGAGCGGCGAACGGGUGAGUAACACGUGGGUGACCUGCCCUUAGCUCUGGGAUAAGCCUGGGAAACUGGGUCUAAUACCGGAUAUGACUCCAUGACGCAUGUUGUGGGGUGAAAGCCUUGUGCGGCUAGGGAUGGGCCCGCGGCCUAUCAGCUUGUUGGUGGGGUGAUGGCCACCAAGGCGACGACGGGUAGCCGGCCUGAGAGGGCGACCGGCCACACUGGGACUGAGACACGGCCCAGACUCCUACGGGAGGCAGCAGUGGGGAAUCUUGCGCAAUGGGCGAAAGCCUGACGCAGCGACGCCGCGUGAGGGAUGACGGCCUCGG